GGUCCUUUAGCUCAGUUGGCUAGAGCGCAGCAUUCACAUUGCUGAGGUCGUAGGUUCGAGCCCUACAAGGACCACCA
rnacentral:tRNA from 1 species